rnacentral:rRNA from 1 species
GUAACGGGUACGAAAGACUCGACUAACUACCGCAUAUAGAACGUAAAGUUAGAAAGGAGUAAUCCGUACUAAAGACCCCCUGACGCCCGCGUCCGAUUAGCUAGUUGGUAGAGUAAAAGCCUACCAAGGCGACGAUCGGUAGCUGGUCUGAGAGGAUGAUCAGCCACAAUGGGACUGAGACACGGCCCAUACUCCUACGGGAGGCAGCAGUGGGGAAUUUUACGCAAUGGGCGAAAGCCUGACGUAGCGACACCGCGUGAGCGAAGAAGCCCCUUGGGGUGUAAAGCUCUGUCAGCUGGAACGAAAAAAAUGACGGUACCAGCAGAGGAAGCAUCGGCUAACUACGUG